AUACGGAGGGUGCAAGCGUUGUUCGGAAUCACUGGGCGUAAAGGGCGCGCAGGCGGUUUGGUGAGUCAGAUGUGAAAGCCCACGGCUCAACCGUGGAAGUGCAUUUGAAACUGCCAGACUUGAGUACCAGAGGGGAAAGUGGAAUUCCCGGUGUAGAGGUGAAAUUCGUAGAUAUCGGGAGGAAUACCGGUGGCAAAGGCGACUUUCUGGCUGGAUACUGACGCUGAGGCGCGAAAGCGUGGGGAGCAAACAGGAUUAGAAACCCCGGUAGUCC
rnacentral:rRNA from 1 species